GUGAAUCAUCGAAUUUUUGAACGCAAAUUGCACUCUCCUCGAAGAGGAUGCGCGUUUGAGGGUCAGCCUCUAAAAAUUGAUAAAGUUGCUGUUUCCCGGUGGAGAUGGGCGGAAAUUGGGUCCUCUUAAAUCCUUUUGAUUUAUGCGACUUAAAAUUUUCUUUUGGUUGCAUGAACGUUCCUAACGUCUGAAUCUUGACACGUAUAAGGUAUC
rnacentral:misc_RNA from 1 species